UACAGAGGUGCCAAGCGUUAGGCGGAAUCACUGGGCUUAAAGCGCGUGUAGGUGGACGGGUAAGUAUCUUGUGAAAUCCCACGGCUCAACCGUGGAACUGCUGGAUAUACUGCUUGUCUUGAGGCACUUAGGGGCAGCUGGAACAAAUGGUGGAGCGGUGAAAUGCGUUGAUAUCGGAAGGAACGCCGGUGGCGAAAGCGGUCCGCUGGCCCUCUACUGACGCUGAGGCGCGAAAGCCAGGGGAGCAAACGGG
rnacentral:rRNA from 1 species